GCUUGCUCCCUGAUGUUAGCGGCGGACGGGUGAGUAACACGUGGGUAACCUGCCUGUAAGACUGGGAUAACUCCGGGAAACCGGGGCUAAUACCGGAUGCUUGUUUGAACCGCAUGGUUCAAGCAUAAAAGGUGGCUUCGGCUACCACUUACAGAUGGACCCGCGGCGCAUUAGCUAGUUGGUGAGGUAAUGGCUCACCAAGGCAACGAUGCGUAGCCGACCUGAGAGGGUGAUCGGCCACACUGGGACUGAGACACGGCCCAGACUCCUACGGGAGGCAGCAGUAGGGAAUCUUCCGCAAUGGACGAAAGUCUGACGGAGCAACGCCGCGUGAGUGAUGAAGGUUUUCGGAUCGUAGAGCUCUGUUGUUAGGGAAGAACAAGUACCGUUCGAAUAGGGCGGUACCUUGACGGUACCUAACCAGAAAGCCACGGCUAGCUACGUGCCAGC
rnacentral:rRNA from 1 species